rnacentral:rRNA from 1 species
UACGUAGGGGGCAAGCGUUGUCCGGAAUUAUUGGGCGUAAAGAGCGCGUAGGCGGUCCGGUAAGUCGGUUGUGAAAGUCGGGGGCUCAACCCUCGGAUGCCGAUCGAUACUGUCGGGCUAGAGUCCGGAAGAGGCGAGUGGAAUUCCUGGUGUAGCGGUGGAAUGCGCAGAUAUCAGGAGGAACACCAACGGCGAAGGCAGCUCGCUGGGACGGUACUGACGCUGAGGCGCGAAAGCGUGGGGAGCGAACAGG